ACGCGCCCACUGUGAUCAUUACAUCUAAGCUCGGAGACAACAGCACAUUAGGAGAUUGGAAGGGAGAUGCGGUCCAGGUUACCAGGACACCUCCGGCGGCUGGUGCACACCGCAGUGAGGCACAUCCGCCCCGAACAGCAGAGGGUCGGUAACUGUGCACGGGCGCGCAGCCGACCACAGACACUCUCGCUGCAAAGGAAUUUUCCACCCAAGGGAACGCGGUGUUCACAUUCUCUCUGCAUUCUGACAGUUUAUUUUUGAAGCCGCAUUCAUACGGACACAUUAGAACGGAGAAAGGACCUUAAUUAUCUCUGAAGGUGUAAGUAUAAGAUGACGGCCAAAUAGAAUGGACACGCCUUUCUUUUUACAAGUGGGACCCCGAACGUCCACACACCGCUGCACCAAGAGGUUCUGGAACCUUGGUGCACUGAUGAUGAGGAUGAUGAUGAUCAGCAACCUUUUCUGAUUGACCGACUACAUGUUGAUCCUUCCCACAGAUACUUUAACUGUUAUUAGUAUGGGUUUUGCGGUCUAUUCGCAUUUUCACGUUUUUUUUUGCAAUCUUUAACAAAAAAUCAGCUUUGCCAUGUGACUUCAUUAUUUAAACUUAAUUAGUUCUGUACAUUUAUUUUGUUUUUGAGUCUGUAUUCUAUUUUACUGUACAUGGUAAGUGUCACUAUUAAGAGUAGAGUAAUUUGUGUUGGAAGCAGAGCACUCAGUGCUAUCUCCCUUCCGUUUACAUGCCGAGUACUGGCAAAGUCACGUCACUGCCAUGACCUCCGACCUGGAUCCCAAGUGCACUACCGUGCAUGCUUGGCAUCUCCACAGGUCUUAUCUGUCUGCCCUCCUUAGGAGGAAGACUUUCCCCUAAGCAACUUGCACAUACCAGAGACUGUGACACACAAUAGAGGCUCCACAGACCCCACUGUGUGACCACCGAUUACAGCAAGAAAGCCACUGCCAUCUCUGCACGUAUAUAAGGGUGUGCUACACCAUCCAUGCUCACCAUUUACAUUAACCUGGAAGCUCCUGGUUGGAUCUGUCUCUUAGUACUGUAUGUGCAUACUUGCAUUAUCCCUAUAAUGAAUCCAGAUUAUUAAUAUCUGGCAUGUGGACUGACCUCCAUCGGACACCGCUGGCACCUAUCAACACUAUAGGUUAUGCCAGUACAUUUAUCAUUUACUACUUUAACCAUGCCAAGCCAUAUCUUCUGAUGCAACCUGGUACAUAUAAUAAUGUUUUCUCCUGAUGUAAAACUGAGUUUUGACAUAAAAUUAUGUGGAACUCUACAUCAGCCAUUAAAUAGUGAAUUGCAGCUAGUAAAAAUAGGAAAACUGUGAUCUCAGCCUUGUGGUAUUUUUUCUGUUUUCUGAUUUUUAUUAAGGCAGCUUUAACCAAUAUUUUCAAAAACUGUGUACAGCGAUAAAUCAAUACGCUCAGCUCCAUAGCUGCUUAGUAAGUAUAAUGUGACAGUCCUCGUAUCAUGAAAUAUCCUACUCUCACUUUUUAAAAAUUCACUGUUUAUCCCUAAAGGUAUAGUAAGACCUAAAGGUUUAUUUUCUUAUGUUUACAAUAUAGAGCAUAAAUUUAAAGAACUUGUCAUUGCAAAACAAAACUGGCAUACCUAUUGUACUGUAAAUCGCUCCUUUCCUUUUUCUUUCGUAUCAUAUAAUAUACUCAUCUUACGGUCAGCUGAGAUGUGUUAAAGAAUUUGCAACUGUAUUGUAUAUUUUGGAAGAAUAUAAAUGUACCACUAAAAAGUUUCUUGUGAUGUAACUUUAACAUGUUUAGUUGUGUAGCUUGUAGUAUGCAGCAUGUAAGUUAACAAGCUAUUUACUUCUGUAAUAUACACGUAUUGCACACAGCAGGCUAGUACAGGUUGAGUAUCCCAUAUCCAAAUAUUCCGAAAUACGGAAUAUUCCGAAAUACAGACUUUUUUGAGU